GCAAGUCGAAUGAGUUUAUACUCAUGGCAGACGAGGUAGGAACACGUAGGUACGUACCCAAAAGUCAGGGAUAACCCGGUGAAAAUCGGAAUAAUACUUGAUAGUCCCUUCGGGGUAAAGAUUUAUCGCUUCUUGAACGGCCUGCGGUCUGUCAGCUUGAUGGUAAGGUAACGGCUUACCAUGGCUACGACGGAUAGGGGAGGUGAGAGCCUGACC
rnacentral:rRNA from 1 species